rnacentral:rRNA from 1 species
AUACGGAGGGUGCGAGCGUUGUUCGGAAUUAUUGGGCGUAAAGAGCAUGUAGGCGGUCUGUUAAGUCUGGUGUGAAAGCCCGGGGCUCAACCCCGGAAGUGCAUUGGAUACUGGCAGACUUGAGUAUGGGAGAGGAAAGCGGAAUUCCGAGUGUAGGAGUGAGAUCCGUAGAUAUUCGGAGGAACACCAGUGGCGAAGGCGGCUUUCUGGACCAAUACUGACGCUGAGAUGCGAAAGCGUGGGGAGCAAACAGGAUUAGAAACCCCAGUAGUCC